rnacentral:misc_RNA from 1 species
GCCGCUGUAGCAGCCAUGCCAGUCUCGGCUAUAACCCCAGCUGCUGCUCCAUUACCGUUUGCAACCACCACUGUGCCAUUGGCCUCAUUAUUGGUUGAUUCAGCUGCAUCCUCUCCAGCAGGCUUUGACAUAUAGUAAUUCCUUGACCUAGUCCAUCUUCUUGAAAAUGGAUCAUACCCAGCCUCACCUGCUUUCAGACUAGUGUUCAAAGGUUUCAAUCCUGAUGCAUUUCUGAAAUUCUCAGCUCUGUUCUUUCUAUUCAUCUCUGCCAACCUAAUAGCCUUCUUAU